UACGGGGGGGGCAAGCGUUGUUCGGAAUUACUGGGCGUAAAGGGCUCGUAGGUGGCCAACUAAGUCGGACGUGAAAUCCCUCAGCUUAACUGGGGAACUGCGUCCGAUACUGGAUGGCUUGAGUUUGGGAGAGGGAUGCGGAAUUCCAGGUGUAGCGGUGAAAUGCGUAGAGAUCAGGAGGAACACCGGUGGCGAAGGCGGCCCACUGGGCUGUCACUGACGCUGAGGCGCGAAAGCGUGGGGAGCGAACAGG
rnacentral:rRNA from 1 species